AUACGGAGGGGGUUAGCGUUGUUCGGAAUUACUGGGCGUAAAGCGUACGUAGGCGGACUGGAAAGUUGGGGGUGAAAUCCCGGGGCUCAACCCCGGAACUGCCUCCAAAACUUCCAAUCUAGAGAUCGAGAGAGGUGAGUGGAAUUCCAAGUGUAGAGGUGAAAUUCGUAGAUAUUUGGAGGAACACCAGUGGCGAAGGCGGCUCACUGGCUCGAUACUGACGCUGAGGUACGAAAGCGUGGGGAGCAAACAGGAUUAGAAACCCGGGUAGUCC
rnacentral:rRNA from 1 species